rnacentral:lncRNA from 1 species
UGCUGCCCCUGAAAUGGUAAUUUUAAGGAAAUUUUGCGGUUUUUGGUUAUUAUCUUGAAUAUUAUUAUAGAUAGAGAUAAACUGUAAACAGCAAUAAUGUUCAGCAAAGUAAGAUCUACAAAUAAGUCAAUAUGACCAAAAUGGUCAGUUGACCACUUUAGGAGUUAUUGCCCUUUAUAGUCAAUUUUUAACCAUUUUUCGUAAAUCUUAGUAAUCUUUUAGAAAAAUCUUCUCCUCUGAAACUACUGGGCCAAAUUUAACCAAACUUGGCCAUAAUCAUCAUCGGGGUAUCUAGUUUAAAAAAUGUGUCUGGUGC